GCUGAGGCCAACUGACAAAGCCUAACAGUUUCUUCUGUAUCAAACUGCCCUUGUGGACUCAUGAACGGUGUUCAUGAGUGGAUAGAGCUACUGAUGUUGAUUCAUGCGACCUGAACAGCUAAUAUCCUGAAAUGAAGAUUGGAUUCGCUCCAAAGAAUUAUUCCUAAACAGGCCUUUCAGUUCUCCAUAAAGAGUAUUUUAUCUGGGAGACCCAGCCACCCUCUUGGUCCAACAGCAGUUUCCCCUUCUCCAAGUGGAGUAAUAUUUUCUGGAUCAUGUGAGUAGUCAGAGGGAUGAUAGAACUAACCUGGAAAGGACAUUUAAGGUGAUUCUCUCCACUCCUGUGGUAGUGAAAGUAGCUGCCAUUACAUCAUGGAUCCACCACUACCAGGGCCAGAUGGUAGAAGCCAGAGAUGCUGCUACUAAACUGAUCAUCUCCGGCUCACAUACUCAUUGAAAUUAAGGAUCCAUUGGGUACUCCGGUCCUUCUACUCUCUGCCCAUCUACUUCUUCCUGACUCUCAUGUUUUGUACUGUGAGUGUGAAUGCAGGAUGAGGAUAUAACUCCCACUGCUCUCAGGCCUGCUCUGGAAACCGAGAAAGACAAAUACAGGGAAGGUAUUAUCCAUUGUGACUCUGAAUGGGCUACUUAAACUCCACAUUGACCUUUUCUUAAUGCUGCCCACUGUUAAGUGUCUGGUUGUAAGGAGGAAAGGGAAGACGUGGGAGUUUAUCUUUUGAAAUAGGAACACAGAGUUUAUGAUUCUAGACAUGCACUGCAGUUGAACCUCUACUUGCCAGCACAAAGGAGUUUCCAGUACAAAAACUGGGGCUGUAAAACUGAGGCUUCCUGAAAAUUCCUUUAAAAGAUCCUGGCCUUUGGGAAACAGGAAAAACCUAGGGAAUCAGACUCUGUGCCACAGGAAAGGACUCUGAGGGAUAAUGUUGAUCGUUCCCAGUUGGUUAUGCGUCCACAGUCAGGCCCAUCCUACACCUGCACAGGGACAGGAACUAAGCAGACUGUCAGGCCACUGACAAACCUAACUCACUGUGACUGGGGACAGCCAAAAUUAAUGUCAGAAUAUGCAUAAGGGGCUAAACUGUUUCUAAUAUCCCAAAAUUUUAUAAAACUCAGGCCCUUCCCCUAUUCUGAUGCCUGCCAUUCUGCCUUAUGAAUUCAUUCAUACAGAGAACAGCGGUAAUACUGAGCCCCUGAGAGUAUUUGUUGGCAUGUUUUAAUAAUGGUUUGACUAAAUGUGUCUCUUCAGUUUUUUCCAAACUAAGAAGACACGUUCAACAGGACGUAGAGGUAUGAAACAUUUCUUUUUAGCAAUUAAAACCACAGGUAGAUUCCCUCAUACCAAUGGUCCUAUGACUUGGAAAGGCUUAGACUUACUUCUCAUGAGAUAAAGGAUCCCAUGUCUGGCUUUAGGGAAAACCCUGUUGUUUCUGUGGUAAUUGAUCAGGAGUAGUUAAAAAAAAUCUUGCCACAGAUCCCAAAAAAGUCUCAGAAAGAGAAAGAGAAACACAAACAUCAGAUAAGUACUACUAGUCUGUGUUCUCUUGGACCCCUGGAGCAACAUUAGAGCACAUUUAUUUAGUGUUAGACAGCUGUAUGCAGUGCUCAUGGUGCUCAGAACAGGGGUCACAUCUCAUGGAUCUGGAGCUGUUAUUGGCAGUUAUAAACUGCCACACGAGUACUGGGAAUCAAACUUUUGUCCGCUGAACAAACAGCCAAUGAACACUCUUGACUACUGGGCCUUCUCUCUACCCUGGAAUAAUUUUCCAUAAUCUUUAGGCAUUUAGUUAUUCUUGGAAGGACUGCCAUAGGCAACUCUAUCUCAUUGGUUCAAGGUAGUGUUUUAUCAUGAAUCCUAGCUUCCCAGGUGCUAGGAUUCCAUACAUAUGCUUCCAUACCAAGCAUGACUUUAUAUCAGUUUUGGCUAUGAUCCUCCUUGACUCUAAACAGUAUUCUCUAAAGACAGUGCCGAUUAACCAUCUGAUGGCUCCUUCUCCAUUGUCUCACAAUCCUAGACUAGCCCUGGUUAGUCUGAUAUGUACUCACAUUUUCGGGAGGGUUAAGUGACAUGUCAAUUAUUACUAAAAUCCUCUUUAGGCCUAUUUCAAGCAUUUGAGGUAUAGAAGUGACCUCAAGUCAGGCAUACCUAAGAACCAUUGUUUAUCUUGUGCAUAAUGUUCUAGCAUCUCAGAAGUGUUGUUCAGUUUACUUUGGUAGGAAGCCUGUCUACAGACCAUUCAGUUUGUGAGGCCUUACAAAAACAUAGCUCC